UGUUCUCAACCUCGCGUCACCGCCGUGAGCAGUCAGUCAGUCGCGUGGCGCGGUGGUGGAAGGUUGUCUCGGAACUGCUUGCCGAGUCCGAGGUCAGCCUCUGCUGACUCAGCCACGCGGUCUUUUCGUCUUAUAUAGUGUGUUGAGCCUUGGUGCUGUCUUCUGCCCUGUGUUGGAACCCUUAAGUUUAGCUUUACCCGCCUGCCGCUCCUCUGCUGCGGUGUGUGGAUCAGUGUCCGGCCGAGGCACUUCUGUGCUUUUAUCUAGUUACAAAAGAGAAAGACGAGGCGGCCAGUGAGUGCGCGCGAUACACCUGAAAGACGCCGUCGACGUGCUUCGACAGCCAGCGUGUCUGCGUGCCUGGAGGGGGAGCCAUUAAAGCGAGGUUCCUUGUUCUCCACCCAGAGAGCGCCUCGCCGAACAGACAAUGACCAGUGCAGUAUCCAUCGGUUCCUUAUCGUCUACGGCAGCGUCCUUGUUUCUCCGAAGGUAUUGUGCAAUCGGUAGGUUUAGAUGGGUAAGUUUGAUCCGUGUGUAUCCAUCUGUCCGUGUGCGUCUAUCUGGGCGAUUAUUCUGAUAAAUCGAAUUAGAAUCGGGGUUUAGAUCACUUGGUCA